rnacentral:rRNA from 1 species
UACGGAGGAUGCAAGCGUUUUCCGGAAUUAUUGGGCGUAAAGCGUCCGUAGGUGGUGAUUCAAGUCAGCGGUUAAAGCGUGGGGCUGAACCUCCUACCGGCCGUUGAAACUGGAUUGCUAGAGUGCGGUAGGGGUGGAGGGAAUUCCCAGUGUAGCGGUGGAAUGCGUAGAUAUUGGGAAGAACACCGGUGGCGAAGGCGCGCGGAUGGGCCUGCACUGACACUGAGGGGCGAAAGCUUGGGGAGCGAACGGG